CCUACGGGAGGCAGCAGUGAGGAAUAUUGGUCAAUGGGCGUAAGCCUGAACCAGCCAAGCCGCGUGAGGGAUGAAGGUCCUAUGGAUCGUAAACCUCUUUUAUAAGGGAAUAAAGUGUGGGACGUGUCCUAUUUUGUAUGUACCUUAUGAAUAAGGAUCGGCUAACUCCGUGCCAGCAGCCGCGGUAAUACGGAGGAUCCGAGCGUUAUCCGGAUUUAUUGGGUUUAAAGGGUGCGUAGGUGGCCUUUUAAGUCAGCGGUGAAUGUCUGGGGUUCAACCAGUGAAGUGCCGUUGAAACUGGGGGGCUUGAGUGUGUUUGAGGGAGGCGGAAUGCGGGGUGUAGCGGUGAAAUGCAUAGAUAUCACGCAGAACCCCGAUUGCGAAGGCAGCCUGCCAAGCCAUGACUGACGCUGAGGCACGAAAGCGUGGGGAUCAAACAGGAUUAGAUACCCGAGUAGUC
rnacentral:rRNA from 1 species